CGGGAGCACACAGGAUGAGGGGACUCCGUGCCCACUACCACCUCCUGCCUGACCAGGACGAGGACCUGCCCACAGACUGCACAGAGCCGGACAGCGAGGGGCAGCCGGGUUGGGAGGGGGCCCCAGUAACAGCCACAGCCCCAGAGGAGCCAUGCAGGCUGGUGCUGAGCACGCCAAGCAGCAUCCUGCAGGAAAGGGAGAUUGAGGAGGUGAGGGGCCCUCGCACGCCAAGAACUGGUCCAGCAUAAGGCUGGUGGGUGACAUCCUCUCUAUCCCCAGGGAGCAGAGGCAGCCAGCAGGGCUGGCACUGCCAGAGAAGGGGUGCCAAGCACUUGCCCCACGUGGGUUCCAGCACAGUGCCUCCAUUACCAUCCCCCUGCAUGGUUUCCUGCAGAGGUCGAUGGGGGAGCACACAUGGAUGGGCCAUGACCUGCAGCUCCCCAUGGACUCAGUGAGGGGUGCCUCGGGGUGACAGCCCUGGAGGUGCGAGGCCCCACACCCCACCAAAAGGUCAAGGUGUGGCUCAUCCUGAGCCAGCUGCCUGGUCUGCUCCUCCCUGAGCUUGUUCUCUGGCCUCCUGCAGGGG
rnacentral:lncRNA from 1 species